ACAAUGCGGGACUAUACGUCUUGCAAUUGGAUUGAGAACAAUGUACAACUCUUAUCGAUAAGCCAUUGGAGGGCAAGUCUGGUGCCAGCAGCCGCGGUAAUUCCAGCUCCAAUAGCGUAUAUUAACGUUGUUGCAGUUAAAAAGCUCGUAGUUGAAGUGUGGGUGAUCGCUGUUGUGAGACUUCGGUCUCUCGAUAGUAAGUCACCCCCUUCCAGUAUCCAGUAGUGGGUAUUCAGUUACUUACUAUUGUGUGUUGGUCGUUUACUGUGAGAAAAUUAGAGUGUUCAAAGCAGGCGUUUGCUUGAAUAGAUUAGCAUGGAAUAAUAAUUGAAGGCUUUCGUGUUCGAUUUGAUUGGUUUGUUCAUGGAAGCAAGGUUAAAAGGAACAGUUGGGGGUAUUCAUAUUCACUAGUUAGAGGUGAAAUUCUCGGAUUUAUGGAAGAU
rnacentral:rRNA from 1 species